ACUCCUACGGGAGGCAGCAGUGGGGAAGUAUUGCACAAUGGGGAAGGACCCUGAUGCAGCAACGCCGCGUGGAGGAUGACACAUUUCGGUGCGUAAACUCCUUUUAUAUAGGAAGAUAAUGACGGUACUAUAUGAAUAAGCGCCGGCUAACUCCGUGCCAGCAGCCGCGGUAAUACGGAGGGCGCAAGCGUUACUCGGAAUCACUGGGCGUAAAGAGCGUGUAGGCGGAAUCGAUAAAGUCAGGAGUGAAAUCCUAUGGCUCAACCAUAGAACUGCUCUUUAAAACUGUCAAUCUAGAGUAUGGGAGAGGUAGAUGGAAUUUCU
rnacentral:rRNA from 1 species